GCGUCAGCGGUGCAACGGUUAGCGUAAGUCCCGGAAAGAGUGAGAUCUGGGUUCGAAUCCCGGCUGACGCA